rnacentral:rRNA from 1 species
GAUGAACGCUGGCGGCGUGCCUAAUACAUGCAAGUCGAGCGAACGGACGAGAAGCUUGCUUCUCUGAUGUUAGCGGCGGACGGGUGAGUAACACGUGGAUAACCUACCUAUAAGACUGGGAUAACUUCGGGAAACCGGAGCUAAUACCGGAUAAUAUUUUGAACCGCAUGGUUCAAAAGUGAAAGGCGGUCUUGCUGUCACUUAUAGAUGGAUCCGCGCUGCAUUAGCUAGUUGGUAAGGUAACGGCUUACCAAGGCAACGAUGCAUAGCCGACCUGAGAGGGUGAUCGGCCACACUGGAACUGAGACACGGUCCAGACUCCUACGGGAGGCAGCAGUAGGGAAUCUUCCGCAAUGGGCGAAAGCCUGACGGAGCAACGCCGCGUGAGUGAUGAAGGUCUUCGGAUCGUAAAACUCUGUUAUUAGGGAAGAACAUAUGUGUAAGUAACUGUGCACAUCUUGACGGUACCUAACCAGAAAGCCACGGCUAACUACGUG